CUUAGUUGAGUUGAAUUGAGUUGAAUUAUUAUUCAUUAAAUUCCUCCCUUAACAAAAUUGGGACUCUCAUUCUUGAAGAGACAUCAUAUAGUUCCUAGAGAUUUUUGACAAGCAUUGAGAACUCCUAGCUCACCCAUCACUAAUUUCAUCAUCGAUAUCCGAACAAUAGAAGGUGUGAUGUAUAAAGUAAGCACUAAGCACUUUAGAGCAAGAUUUAAGAAUAAUAAAUAACUACACACUGUACAUACUUGCCCGAUAUAAAAUGCAAUUACAAUCAAAGAAUAUAAUUUUAUCAAUGAAAUAGAAUUAACAUGGGCUUAAUUUUUUCACUCCUUUCAAUUGGGACUCCAAUUCAAAAGUAAUGUGUAAAUUAAUACCUAGAGAGUUUGAUUCAUUAAUAGGAACUCUCACUCAACAAAUCAAAAUCCCAUCAUAGGUAUAAUUAACUAACAAUCCUUAUCCACAUUAAUUCAAUCUAACAAGUGAAUAUUGAUGUAAAUAUGCAUACAAUUUAUUACUCAGAUUUGCUGAAAAUCCCGCAAAGCUUCUCCUAAAAACCAGAUAUUUUCUCAAUUUUUAACAAAACACAACCUAGAUAAAAAUUAUCAUUCUGGCCUCCACAUCUAUGCACACAUCUUCUUCCUCAACUCAAACAUCAUAGAUAGAAGUAAUAAACAAAAUUAGGCUCCACUAAAAGUGGUCCUAGGUACUACAAAAGGUUUCAAUUUCAUUGAAGUAAAGGACAAAUAACUUUUAAUUGUUUUAGAAUAUUCAAUUCUCUCUUCAAUCAAUUAUUAUGCUUAUUAUUACAUUUUACUUCCUUUAUUCAUUCAUUCAUUUAUUUAUUUAUCAUACAUCUAAUUAUUCUAAAAAAGGAACAAUCAAUCAAAGCAACCUUUUAAACCAUAUUCAAAAUUAGAAACCAUACUUGCAUAGAGCAGUUUUAAAAGUGAGAAAUUGUUGAAAGCAGUGUUGUUAAAUUCGCGCCCUGCGUGGCACCGCCUAGCUUAGCUUCCGAGAGGUGAUCACCCCAACAAUAGAGGCCCUAGGCGAUGAGGCAAUGCCUUAGUGAAGUCACCUCUUAAUUAUUUUUUAACACAACAAAUUAAAAAACCCUAAGACAGAAGCUCCUAUUUUGUCACACCUCCUUUGUCUCUCUAAAAAGACCUCUCUAUCACAGUAAGUCCUCUCUCUAUCUCUCUCACAGUAACAAGUAACAACCAAGUCAAUCCUAAGGUAUGCUCAUCCUUCCUCUAUCUCUCUCUCCUCUUCUUCUUCUUCUUCUAUCCUUUAUUUCUUCUCCUCUUCUUCUAUUCUUAACACAACAGACAACACCCUACAACUUAUCUUUUUCCCUCUUUUUUUAUACUUUUUUCUUCUUUUCUCUCCUCUUCUUCUCUCUUCUUCAAUUAUGUUGUACUUUUCCCUCUCAUCUUAUGCCAUUUUUAAAAACAUAGCAGUUUUAUUUUUUUAUUUUCUUUUAUUUUAAUUGAUUUGUUAAUUUUUCCUAUUUUAAUUUGUGUUUAAUUUUUUCUAGUUGUUUAAGCUAAAUGAAAAUAUAUUGCUUCUUUUGGUUUAGGCUAAAUUAUUUAAAAGUAUGAUUUUUUUUUUUUUAAAUGUUAGAAGUGCACAUAUAUAUAAUUCAAGUAAUUUAGGUUAUGGGUGUCUUGCUUCAAAAGGGCCCUUC
rnacentral:misc_RNA from 1 species